rnacentral:tRNA from 2 species
AAUGAAGUGCCUGAAAUUAAAAGGGUUAUUUUGAUAGAAUAAAUCAUGUAAAAUUAUUACCUUCAUUA